rnacentral:rRNA from 1 species
AGUGAACGCUGGCGGUAGGCCUAACACAUGCAAGUCGAGCGGCAGCACAGUAAGAGCUUGCUCUUACGGGUGGCGAGUGGCGGACGGGUGAGGAAUAGAUCGGAAUCUACUUUUUCGUGGGGGAUAACGUAGGGAAACUUACGCUAAUACCGCAUACGACCUACGGGUGAAAGCAGGGGAUCUUCGGACCUUGCGCGAUUGAAUGAGCCGAUGUCGGAUUAGCUAGUUGGCGGGGUAAAGGCCCACCAAGGCGACGAUCCGUAGCUGGUCUGAGAGGAUGAUCAGCCACACUGGAACUGAGACACGGUCCAGACUCCUACGGGAGGCAGCAGUGGGGAAUAUUGGACAAUGGGCGCAAGCCUGAUCCAGCCAUACCGCGUGGGUGAAGAAGGCCUUCGGGUUGUAAAGCCCUUUUGUUGGGAAAGAAAAGCAGCAGGUUAAUACCCCGCUGUUCUGACGGUACCCAAAGAAUAAGCACCGGCUAACUUCGUG